rnacentral:rRNA from 1 species
AAAUUGAAGAGUUUGAUCAUGGCUCAGAUUGAACGCUGGCGGCAGGCCUAACACAUGCAAGUCGAGCGGAAACGAGUUAACUGAACCUUCGGGGGACGUUAACGGCGUCGAGCGGCGGACGGGUGAGUAAUGCCUAGGAAAUUGCCCUGAUGUGGGGGAUAACCAUUGGAAACGAUGGCUAAUACCGCAUGAUGCCUACGGGCCAAAGAGGGGGACCUUCGGGCCUCUCGCGUCAGGAUAUGCCUAGGUGGGAUUAGCUAGUUGGUGAGGUAAGGGCUCACCAAGGCGACGAUCCCUAGCUGGUCUGAGAGGAUGAUCAGCCACACUGGAACUGAGACACGGUCCAGACUCCUACGGGAGGCAGCAGUGGGGAAUAUUGCACAAUGGGCGCAAGCCUGAUGCAGCCAUGCCGCGUGUGUGAAGAAGGCCUUCGGGUUGUAAAGCACUUUCAGUCGUGAGGAAGGUAGUGUGUUUAAUAGAUGCAUUAUUUGACGUUAGCGACAGAAGAAGCACCGGCUAACUCCGUGCCAGCAGCCGCGGUAAUACGGAGGGUGCGAGCGUUAAUCGGAAUUACUGGGCGUAAAGCGCAUGCAGGUGGUUUGUUAAGUCAGAUGUGAAAGCCCGGGGCUCAACCUCGGAAUAGCAUUUGAAACUGGCAGACUAGAGUACUGUAGAGGGGGGUAGAAUUUCAGGUGUAGCGGUGAAAUGCGUAGAGAUCUGAAGGAAUACCGGUGGCGAAGGCGGCCCCCUGGACAGAUACUGACACUCAGAUGCGAAAGCGUGGGGAGCAAACAGGAUUAGAUACCCUGGUAGUCCACGCCGUAAACGAUGUCUACUUGGAGGUUGUGGCCUUGAGCCGUGGCUUUCGGAGCUAACGCGUUAAGUAGACCGCCUGGGGAGUACGGUCGCAAGAUUAAAACUCAAAUGAAUUGACGGGGGCCCGCACAAGCGGUGGAGCAUGUGGUUUAAUUCGAUGCAACGCGAAGAACCUUACCUACUCUUGACAUCCAGAGAACUUUUCAGAGAUGAAUUGGUGCCUUCGGGAACUCUGAGACAGGUGCUGCAUGGCUGUCGUCAGCUCGUGUUGUGAAAUGUUGGGUUAAGUCCCGCAACGAGCGCAACCCUUAUCCUUGUUUGCCAGCGAGUAAUGUCGGGAACUCCAGGGAGACUGCCGGUGAUAAACCGGAGGAAGGUGGGGACGACGUCAAGUCAUCAUGGCCCUUACGAGUAGGGCUACACACGUGCUACAAUGGCGCAUACAGAGGGCGGCCAACUUGCGAAAGUGAGCGAAUCCCAAAAAGUGCGUCGUAGUCCGGAUUGGAGUCUGCAACUCGACUCCAUGAAGUCGGAAUCGCUAGUAAUCGUGGAUCAGAAUGCCACGGUGAAUACGUUCCCGGGCCUUGUACACACCGCCCGUCACACCAUGGGAGUGGGCUGCAAAAGAAGUAGGUAGUUUAACCUUCGGGGGGACGCUUACCACUUUGUGGUUCAUGACUGGGGUGAAGUCGUAACAAGGUAGCGCUAGGGGAACCUGGCGCUGGAUCACCUCCUUAUACGAUGAU